CAAGCAAGAUUUCGACUGUAUAUAAGGACUGGCUGUCUGAUGAUUUGGGGCAAGUGUGGUGAGAGCUGCCCAACGAGUGGGACCUCCAGGAUCCAAGGGCCUAAAGGGGGAAGAGCUUCACAACAGGCAUCUGUAAGGAGUCAAAUCCCUCCUGGAAGCAGCCCAAAGCCUGACAUGAGAAUACAGGUGAUACAUGCAGGAGAGGUUCUCCAUUGGUCCUGUGGUACUGGAGCAGGAGAAGAAAUCAAUCUUUAAGGGCACUAGGAUUUCCUCGUGGCAACCAAGAGCUGAAGUUACUUUUCCAAAAUUGUUUAGCAGGCCCAGCAGAAAUACCUCGACACAUUUGUUAAAACAUGGCUGACAUCCAGAGCUGCAAUCUCAAGAUGCAGCAGGGCGGGGGGGGGGGGAUCACUCUACUCCCUCCGCAUCCAUGCUCGGCUUGCUCAGGAAAACUAUGGCUGAGUUCUACAUGGCAGAAUGCUGCUCUGGCUAUCAGUCCCUGCCUUUUUUAGACUGGCUGCCAUCCUGAUUUGUAAAGUGAUGUGUGAACCUCAGAGAUCACCAAACACAUGAUCUCUAUACAGACAUUCACAUUUUGGGGGCAUAUUGCAGUUUGUUUGUGUGAAGGUUCACACAUAUAGGCUGCCCAAGUCUGAUUGCUCAACUUACUUCUGGAAGAUGU